UGCGUAGGCGGAAUGAUAAGUUAGGGGUGAAAGCCCCCGGCUCAACCGGGGAACUGCCAUUAAUACUGUCAUUCUUGAGUAUAGUUGAAGUGGGCGGAAUGUAUCAUGUAGCGGUGAAAUGCUUAGAUAUGAUACAGAACACCGAUAGCGUAGGCAGCUUGCUAAACUAUAACUGACGCUCAGGCACGAAAGCGUGGGGAGCAAACAGGAUUAGAUACCCUGGUAGUCC
rnacentral:rRNA from 1 species